GCAUCUAAGAACCAUACUACCAGCAGAUCAUGCUCUCCCUGAGCAACAGCAGCACCCCCUCCAUCCCCUCUCCAGCCAACUUCCUGGGUCUAUGCAAGGGACCACCUGCCUUCAGAAAAGGAUUCAGGCCUUGGUGCUAUGCUGAAGAUUACAUGUGGCCUUCUGUGACAUGUGGAAAGAAACUGGGGACCUUCUGUUUCCCAUCUAGUCUUCAGAUUCUGAAGCAAACAGAAUGUUAUCUGACUGACACAAAGCAGAGCUACGUUUUGACAGAAGUCACCUGCAUCUUGUUAAUAUAUUCAUGUACACACGUUCAGGCCAGUUCUGUCUCAAAUGAAUUAAAUUCCUGGAGUCCCACUGAUGACAUGAAGAAGGAAAAUGACCUGAAAUCACAUGUUGAACAGUUCCAAAUAGAGAAAACUGGAUGUAUCCAUCUGGGAGAAAGGAGAGCAAAACAAAGUCUGUUGGUAGAAGUCUCAAAUAUUAUGGUGUGUUAAUGAUCAUAAAAGCAUGGCUUUAAUACAAGAAUAGACAGAAGAUGAAGACAGAAUGAGACAUAUACCACAUAGAUGCUGGGAGUGCAGGCAAUCAAACUUGAUCUUUACAUCAUCUACGGUGGGCCUUCAAUGUCACUGGCUAAUGCCUCUGGGACUUCCCCUGUGGAAAUGAGGUGAAAUUAUGUGUCUCCAGAAGCAUCCCACAUCACCUACAAUAGGCCAUUUUUCAGAGUAAACUUUCAAAACACCAGCUGCUCUCCAUUCUUUGUAAGGAAACCCACCGAGACAGAGGUAAGUUAGGUGCCUAGAGCUAGAUCGAGUGAGUCUACUUAUAUCUUGAAUGAUGCAACCCUGCAAACAUGAACAAGGUGCCCUAAAGGAUGCCAUGUGCUGAGAAGACCAACAAGAUGUAGGAAAAAUUCAAGAUUUUUCUUUUGGCUACUUGUCAAAGGUCAGGCAGAUGAACCCACAGUGAAACAGAGUGCACCAAGGGAUUUGAAGUCCUUUUAUUGUGUUAUGGCUUCUUCCAUGCAUAAUAGCAGAAUCAUGGGCUCUAGAUAAAGUUUUUUUUUUUUUUUCCUUUAAAAUAUAUUUU
rnacentral:lncRNA from 1 species